AACGAACGCUGGCAGCAUGCCUAACACAUGCAAGUCGAACGAGACCUUCGGGUCUAGUGGCGCACGGGUGCGUAACGCAUGGGAACCUGCCCUUAGGUUCGGAAUAACUCCCCGAAAGGGGUGCUAAUACCGGAUAAUGUCUUCGGACCAAAGAUUUAUCGCCUUUGGAUGGGCCCGCGUUGGAUUAGCUAGUUGGUAGGGUAAAAGCCUACCAAGGCGACGAUCCAUAGCUGGUCUGAGAGGAUGAUCAGCCACACUGGGACUGAGACACGGCCCAGACUCCUACGGGAGGCAGCAGUGGGGAAUAUUGGACAAUGGGCGAAAGCCUGAUCCAGCAAUGCCGCGUGAGUGAUGAAGGCCUUAGGGUUGUAAAGCUCUUUUACCCGGGAUGAUAAUGACAGUACCGGGAGAAUAAGCUCCGGCUAACUCCGUG
rnacentral:rRNA from 1 species